CUCGUAGGCGGUUCGUCGCGUCCGGUGUGAAAGUCCAUCGCUUAACGGUGGAUCCGCGCCGGGUACGGGCGGGCUUGAGUGCGGUAGGGGAGACUGGAAUUCCCGGUGUAACGGUGGAAUGUGUAGAUAUCAGGAAGAACACCAAUGGCGAAGGCAGGUCUCUGGGCCGUCACUGACGCUGAGGAGCGAAAGCGUGGGGAGCGAACA
rnacentral:rRNA from 1 species